CCUACGGGGGGCAGCAGUGAGGAAUAUUGGUCAAUGGGCGAGAGCCUGAACCAGCCAAGUCGCGUGAGGGAGUACUGCCCUAUGGGUUGUAAACCUCUUUUGUCGGGGAGCAAAAGCCGGACGUGUCCGGCUGUGAGAGUACCCGAAGAAAAAGCAUCGGCUAACUCCGUGCCAGCAGCCGCGGUAAUACGGAGGAUGCGAGCGUUAUCCGGAUUUAUUGGGUUUAAAGGGUGCGCAGGCGGAUGUUUAAGUCAGCGGUAAAAUCGUGGGGCUCAACCCCAUCCAGCCGUUGAAACUGGGGAUCUAGAGUGUGCGAGAGGGAUGCGGAAUGCGUGGUGUAGCGGUGAAAUGCAUAGAUAUCACGCAGAACCCCGAUUGCGAAGGCAGCAUACCGGUGCACAACUGACGCUCAGGCACGAAAGCGUGGGUAUCGAACAGGAUUAGAUACCCGUGUAGUC
rnacentral:rRNA from 1 species